rnacentral:lncRNA from 1 species
CGCUCUCUCUCAGCCCUGCCACGAACUCACUGUCAUGGAAUUUGUGAAACCCAAGCCUGGCCCGAUGGAAAAUCUGUUUUUAAUUUCUGGCCAGCAUCACUGGUUCCUCAGCCCAGUGUGUUGGGGGUGGGGGGCCCAUGGUCAUGCAGCCAGCUCAGCACCCUGGCAGCCCAUCAGGGACAGUGGGCGGAGGACCCUGGAUCCCCACCGUGGGGCUGAGAGUGGGCUUCCUGGCCAGCACUGGAUGUCUGAGGCACAGAUGAGUUGGCUCCACUUAGUAGUCUGGGGUCCCCCAAGCCUGAGCCUCAGGGAAUCUGGUCUGUGGCUCAUACAUGCUGAGCCAGCUGUACGCCGAGCUACUUGUGUAUCCCUCGUGAUCCCUGGGCCUGGGCUCAGC